rnacentral:rRNA from 1 species
GACGAACGCUGGCGGCGUGCCUAAUACAUGCAAGUAGGACGCAGUUGCGAACGGGUGAGUCACGCGUAGGUAACUACCUAUUAGAGGGGGAUAACUAUUGGAAACGCUAGCUAAUACCGCAUACUAGUAGAUGGACCUGCGUUGUAUUAGCUAGUAGGUAGGGUAAUGGCCUACCUAGGCAACGAUACAUCGCCGAGCUUGGAGGGGGAUCGGCCACACUGGGACUGGGACACGGCCCAGACUCCUACGGUAGGCAGCAGGAGGGAAUCUUCGGAAAUGGGGGGAACCCUGACCGAGCAACGCCGCGGGAGUGAAGAAGGUUUUCGGAGCGUAAAGCUCUGUUGUGAAGGAAGCGGUACUUAACCAGAAAGGGACGGCUAACUACGUGCCAGCAGCCGCGGUAAUAC